CCCGGGAGUCCACACGUCCUUGCCCGAAGCUGGCGCUCUGCGCUCCGAGCGCGGGGCUGGCGGAGGGACAAGUCCCCAGGACCCUGGGGCAGACCUUCUGCUUUUGUCCCCUGCCCCUCCCCGCGCCCCGGGGAUUCCACGCAGCCAGAGAACCCGCAACAACUCCGCUCAUCUUGGCGUCAGAACGCGGCCGGAGACCCUCAUGAAAACCCCAGUUUCCCCAUCAGGAACCUGGAAAGUGACAAGGAACAGGCUCCACAGAGCCUGGUGGUCUUGACCACACCCUCUCCCCCUUCAGGGUCAAAUCUUCUGUGCAUCUUCCCAGUUCAGAAGAAAUACCAAGGCUAUCAGAUCCUGGGCACCGAGGUGAGGACACCUCCAGAGGCAGCUGGUUACUGAACCUCUCUGAAUCGCAAGGCUUCAUCUGUUCUGAGGGUUCAAUGAAAUGAAGGCUACAAACUUCUGGUUAAUGAUAUGCUGCUUGGCAACGAUUAUAUCACACAUCACAUACGUCUGGAUCAAGUGUUACUUUGCAAGUAUUCAGCUAUGGCAUUAAAGAUCCUUUCAAGAACCCUUUUGAAUGGCUUCUCUAGGUGACACAGCAAAUGGAUUCCUAAGUAUGCAUCCAUUCUCCCGGGUAAACCACGAGUCUCAAAAAGUAGGCAGCAGGCUGGACCCGGUGGCACACGCAUGGAAUCCCAGCGCUUUGGGAGGCCAAGGCAGGAAGUUGCUUGAGGCCAGGAGUGCAAAACCAACAUGGCGAGACUCUGUCUGUAUAAGAAAUAAAAUAAAUUAUCCAGGUGUGGUGGUGUGUACCUGUUGUUCCAG
rnacentral:lncRNA from 10 species